GGCCACCCCACAGCAUAUGGGGCUUCUGAGCCAGGGCUUAGAUCCGAGCUGAAGUCAAGACCUAACCCACUGCGCUGGGCCAGGGAUCGAACCUGAACCCCAGGGGCUCCCAAGAGGCCGCCAAUCCCAUUGUACCACAAGGGGAGCUCCCCAAAAUACCAUAAUAUUUUAAAAGUACGGCUAAAUACUGGUUCUUCCUAGGGAUUGGAGCUUGUAUCAUUUUUUCAAGAUCACUCCUCUUAUUGGCCUCUGAAACCAGAUGCAAUUCUGCUCCUUGUUACAUCAACACAGCCAAUUCUCGUCACCGUAACUGUGUUUAUAAAGUCGCCAAGAACACUGAGUUAGCGAAUUUCCAGGGGAGAGUCAGGGUUCGGUUCCUGCGGGCCUCUGGAAACAACAUGUUUGUUAGCCAAUCAAUGUAGAACCUUGUUUUAUUUAUUUAUUUAUUUUGGGCAGGAUCCAAGGCAUACGAAAGUUCCUAGGCCAGGGAUCGAACCCAUGCCACAGCAGUGACCUGAGCCACAGCAAUGACAAGGACGGAUCCGUAACCGGCUGAGCCACACGAGAUCUCCUGAACUUGGCUUUAUGUGCGUUAAAGACACUGUACUGAAUGUGUACUGUUGAUUCACCCACAUUGAACUCACGGCCAAUCGCACUCUUAACUCAUGCCUGAAGGAAGCUUGCCUGACACAUAUUUUUCUCCAUACAUGGAAAAUACAAUGCCUCCCUUACAGCCUUCUUACGCUCAGGACACUAGAGAGCAUUUCAGCAUUACCCUUGGGAGGCAUUAUAAACAGCAUAAUCCCAACAAAACCAUGAAAAUGCAAAACAAAAAAGGCAUUAAAAAGACCACUGUGGGGACUCCCGUUGUGGCUCAACAGUAACAAACCCGACUAGUAUCCAUGAGGAUGCAGGUUUGAUCCCUGGCCUCACUCAGUGGGUUAAGGAUCCGGCGUUGCUGUGAGCUGCAGUGUAGGUCGCAGAUGUGGCUUGAUCUGGCAUUGCUGUGGCUGUGGUGUAGGCCAGCAGCUGUAGCUCCGAUUGGACCCCUAGCCUGGGAACUUGCAUAUGCUUCGGGUGCAGCCCUAAAAAGCAAAAAAUAAAAAAUAAAAUAAAAUGGGAGUUCCCGUCGUGGCGCAGUGGUUAACGAAUCCGACUAGGAACCAUGAGGUUGCGGGUUCGGUCCCUGCCCUUGCUCAGUGGGUUAAUGAUCCGGCGUUGCCGUGAGCUGUGGUGUAGGUUGCAGACGCGGCUCGGAUCCCACGUUGCUGUGGCUCUGGCGUAGGCCAGUAGCUACAGCUCCGAUUAGACCCCUAGCCUGGGAACCUCCAUAUGCCGCGGGAGCGGCCCAAGAAAUAGCAAAAAGACCAAAAAAAUAAAAAUAAAAAAAAUAAAAAUAAAAUGUCCAUUGAGGGACAUGACUUAUAGUGGGAUAAUACGUGCCUCCCGUUAUGAGGCAAUUUGAAAUACACAAUAGCACCUAGAGGUAUUAUUGCAAUAAAGUUUAACCUGAAUUUAAUCAGGCUUCGAGAAAGUACAUGUCAUUAAAAAUAUAAUGUGAGCCACAUACGUAAUAUGAACAUUUUUGGUAGCCACGUUUAAAAAAUAAAAAAAAGGAAGUUUCUUGGUGGUAUGACACACUAAGGAUUUGGUAUUGUCACUGCUGUGGCUGCGUCACUGCUGGGGCCCUGGCCCCAGAACUUAUGCAUGCCAUGGGCAUGAUCAAAAAAAAAAGGAAAAACAAAACCAAAAUUCACAGGUGAAAUUUAAUAUUAUACUUUAAGACAAAAAUAAUAAUAUACUUUAACAUAACAUAUCCAAAAUAUUAGUGUUUCGACAUGUAAUCAAUAUAAAAAAUUAGUAUUUUACAUUCUUUCUGUACAGAGUCUUCAAAAUUCAGGAUGUAUUUUUACACGUACACACAUUUCAAUUCAGAUGUUAAAUUUUCAUCGGAAACACUCGAUCUAUAUUUAGAGUUCAUAAAUUUACAGUUUGAAGAAGUAGAUUUGCAUACCCAAGUUGUUCCAAAAUACUUAAGAUUUUUCCAAUAAUGGAAGUGAAUGAGAUUUUAAAGUUAAAUUCCAGUUAAUUUAAAUUAAAUUAAAUUUUAAAACCCAGUUUCUAAAUUGCAUUAGCCACAUUUCAGGUGUUCAAUGGCUACAUAUGGCUCAGUGGCCACCAUACUGGACAGUGCAGUCCUAGACUUUAUAAGAAAUAAAAGGGAUGGCUCAGCAGGAAUGAACCCGACUAGUAUCCAUGAGGACGUGGGUUUGAUCCCUGGCCUUGCUCAGUGGGUUAAGGAUCCAGCGUUGCUGUGAGCUGUGGUAAAGGUCACAGACGCAGCUUGGAUAUGGGCUUGCUGUCACUGUGGUGUAGGCUGAUGGCUGUAGCUCUGAUUCGACCCCUAGCCUGGGAACCUCCAUAUGCCGUGGGUGCAGCCCUAAAAAGAAAGAAAAUAAAAUAAACCAUUACAGACUGGACCAAGAGGAGACAAGCUCCAGGAGAGAUGCCUUUAAAGAAAAAAAAAAAAUAUAUAUAUACAUAUAUAGGCAGAUCAGGCAAUGUUUUCCACUGUAUUAUGCAGAGUUUUUUGACUCUGUAGGAGAAUUUUGAGAGGAAAAUUAGUGAUAGGUACCUUCAGUAAUAUCUUGAUAAGCCAUCUGUCCGAGAAGAAAAAGAAAGAAAGAAGCCCUGAUUUGUAGAAUUCAUUAAAUUCUGGGGCACAAUACUUCCAUUAUGGCCAUAUUCAAGCUACCAACAUGAAGUCACUGAACACAGAGUUGGCAAGUGAUGCCCACAACUGGCUCUUUAUCAUUAAUUUUCUUCUCAAAAUUCUCCCACAGGGUCGAAAAAUUCUUUAGAGCCACUAAGGGAGGGAAAAAAAAAAAAGCACAUACAUGAACCAAAUGAGUAUGAUAUGCUAAAAUUUAGGUAAUCUUUUAUGAAAAAUAGAAAAGGAAAGGAAAGUAAGGAAAGAGAGAGGGAGGGAAGGAAGGAGGGAAGAGUCAGUAAGAGCUAGCUUCAGAGUUCCCGUCAGAGCACAGCAGAAACAAAUCUGACUGGGAACCAUGACGGUGCGGGUUCAAUCCCUGGCCUCGAUCAGUGGGUUAAGGAUCCAGCAUUGCUGUGAGCUGUGGUGUAGGUCACAGAUAAGGCUCAGAUCCCAAGUUGCUAUGGCUGUGCCGUAGGCCAGCAGUCUCUGCUCGGAUUUGACCCCUCGCCUGGGAACUUCCACAUGCCAUGAGUGCAAGAGCUAGUUUCAACAAAAUUUAGCAAAUAAAGCAAUUAUUAACUCCAGGAAAAAUUUAAAGUUUUACAAGAAAUGAAAUCAUAGUACCCCACAUGACUCAGCUACACCAAUUACACUGCCUUAAUAAUGUAUAUACUGCAGUCUCCUUUGUGGCUCAGGGAUAAUGAACCUACCUAUGAGGAAGCAGGUUCAAUCCUUGGUCCCCCUCAGUGGGUUAAAGGAUCCGGCAUUGCCAUGAGCUGUGGUGUAGGUCUCAUGACAGAUAGGCUUCAGAUCUGGUGUUGCUAUGGCUGUGACGUAGUCCAGUGUCUACAGCUCUGAUUCGACUUCAUAUGCCCCAAGUGAGGCCCUAAAAAGACAAAAAAAAAAAAAAAAAAAUCCAAAAAAGUAGAAAUACAUGAGCUACAAAAUAAAACGAAACCCUAAAAAUUAAUACUAAAAGCAUAUUCAAACUUACUUGGAAAGAAAUAAAAGCUUAAAUUAUAGAAAAUUUAUAAAAGAAUGGUGAUAGGAAAAUUACCUCUUGAAAUCUGUAACAACAUAUGAUAAAAUGAUUUUCAGAGGAAACUUUACAGCCUUAAGUACAUUCAUUAGAAAUCAAGAAAGAUGAAGAAUAAGUGAUUUUAGUCAAUUCAAAAAGCUAGGAAAAAAAAACAAUGAACUAGACAACCAUGCUGAUAGAAAAAAAUGUAAAAUAGAAAAUAGAAAAAAUAGCCUUGGUCAAUAAGACUAACAGUUGUUCUUUCAAGAAAUAGGAAAAGAUGGGAGUUCCCAUUGUGGACACAAGAUCAAAAGCCAUAAAAUAAAACAUUAAAUAUUGGACUUCAUUUAAAAAAAAAGUUAGGAUGUUUGAAAAAUGAAAGACAAAACUGGCAAAUGAUUACGGAAAAUAUUGAUUACGAAUAUUAGUUAAAAGCCAUAACUGCAGACAGAAAACAGUAUUUAAUAUCUUGUAAUAAACUAUAAUGGAAAAGAAUCUGAAAAAGAGUACUUAUAUAACUGAAUCACUUUGCAGUACACCAGAAACUAACACAACAUUGUAAAUAAACUAUACUUUUUUUUAAUUUUUCUUGUCUUUUUACGUCCUUGUGAAUGCUAGUCGGAUUUGUUUCUGCAGAGCCGCAACAGGAACGCCCAUACUUCAAUUUUUUUAAAAAAGCCAUAAUUGUAAAGAGCUGCUAUAAACUAAGGAGAAAAUCACAAAUUUUUUAACUCAUAAAUGCUAUACAAAGGUAAUUUUUAGGAAAAAAAGGACCAAUAAACAUUUGAAAGAAUGCUCAACCAUACUGGUAAUCAGGAAAGUUUAAAGCAAUAAAGAUACCAUUUUUCACACAUCGGAUCAAGAAAAAUGUUCAAAUAUGAUAAUACGCAGUGUUAAAAAUGUUGUGAGGAAAUAAGCACUCUCUCUCAUACAGUCAGUGUGUAUUACAGUUUUGAAUGUGCACACCCCUUUGAAUCAGGCUACUUCCAGAAAUCUAUCCCUACAGAAAUACUUGAAUCUAAGAACAAGGAUGUAUGUGUACUCACUGAACAUUUUUUGGGGGUUAGAUUAAUUAAAAAAAGGAAAAAAAAAAAAGAAUCCUGCUAGAUCAAUCAAAAGUUAAUGAUUCAAGGAUUGCUGAACAGUCUUUAAAAUGAAUGAGUAAAUCUCUAUGUACUUACAUGAAAAAAUUUCAGCACAUAGUGUUAAGGUUAAAAGUAAAUUACUGAAUGCAAAUUACAUACCACAACCUUUAGACAUGCAUGUGUCAUAUACAGACAGACACACACGUAGGGCAGCAGGUAUGGUAUAGCGAGACUUUCACUUUUUGCCCUAUAUUCCAGGGUUAAUUAAAAAGAAAAAAAAAAAGUAGUUUGGAAAGAGAUGUAUUAAACUGUUAGUUGUCUUUACCUUAAAUAGGGGAGAAAAAAGGAAUGAAAGCAAAAGAGAUCUUUUCAUUCUAAAAACUUUGAGAAUAAUUUUUAAAAAACAAACAUGCAAGUUCAUGCCAUUUUUGUGAAAUUAUUAUUGGUAUAAAGAAAUAACAACAUAUGAAAAUGCUUUGCAAAGACAAGUGAAAUGGACCCUAGGUUAGUUUACCUUAGCAAUUUUUCAAAGUCUCAGCAAAAAAUAAAAUAGGAUGGCCAUGGAAUUUUUCCAAUUCUCCUUCCUUUACAACAUAAUCAGGAAUGACUUCAAAUGUAAUUAUGGAAUUACACUGCUUCACUCUUUAAGGAAUAUUUCUGCCUUAAAUAUUACCUUCCAGACCAAGAGUUCAAAGCAUAGUUACCGCACAGAUUUUCAGAUGAGAGCCCCAAACUGGCAGGAUGGGGGGACGGGGUGGAAAGAGUAGGGGAAUGACAUUUAUUCUAUGUCCUAAUUAAUAGUAGAGCGGUAUGUUAGAGCAGUUUAAUCUAACCAAAAGUUACUUAUUUUUAAAAAAUAACUGUCACACACAAGUCAUAAAAUGCGAUUGUUGGAAGAUUGUAGUAAAUGAUGAUGAACGUAUAAGGAAUAAGAAAACGCUCGACAGCUGACAGCAAAUAACCGCCUUAUCCAGCCGCAGCAUGACUCUGCACCAUGACACACUCUAAAGCUUGGGUAUUUUCCCAGGAGAAUACGCUGAAAUACAAAGGUCCACAAAGAGAGAAGGCAUAAAGAUUUGGAUAGGGACAUUUUCUUUUAGGGUAGACAGAAAAAAAAAAAAACAAAACAAAACAAAACAGGAAAAGGAAUUGCACUGUUUAAAGUGCUGAGAAAAUGGUCAGAGCCCAUCUGCCACCCAGGAGGCCCACACGCAGAUUUCACGUUAAGCCGCAGUCCUGGGGAGCGAGCAUCCGUGGACCACCACCCAGCGCACAAGGACGCGCGUCGCAGCCUUUUCCCACUUGGCCCCGCCCGCCUCCCUGCCUGCACGGCGGGCACAGACGUCCUGACGCAUCCGCAUUGACGAGCUGCUCCCUCCAUUUUGUCCCCAGUCUCCUUCAGGCGCACCGAGCGGCGCUAUUUUAAAGCCACUCCCAGAUGGAACCAAUGCAGGGAGGCGGCGGAGUGGGUGCGGGACCACGCUUUGCCGGAGGCCCGCACUCGGGGAUAAAUGACGGCUGGUGCUGGUGGAGCUGCCUGGGGCGCCC
rnacentral:lncRNA from 1 species